GGCACUAAAGGGAAUAAAAGUGCUAUUUUAAGUCAUUUGGCAACAGAGAUUUCCAGCAAUAUAUCUCAAUGUGGAGUUUGUCUGGCAUAUUAAUGACUGCCCUGUAAGGAAGCAUACCCUUGCAGGACAGAUGAAAGCGCAAUACAAAGUCUAUGCCAAUUAAUUCAAGCUUUUCAUUCUCUCCAAGAUCAUUUUUUUUUUUUACAUGGAGAAAGCCUCUAAUUCUGUAUUUUAGAAAGAGAAAAGUAU